GUAAGCUGAUGAGAUUGUGCUUGUAGCUAGAUGGCCCUAAUAGGUGUUCAAAUAUCACCAUGGGACCUGCUGCAACUGGAGAUCUUCAAGGAGGUCUGUAUAGCCAUCUGACGUCCCUCUAUACACCUUCCAACCUGGUGGUCAUGUUUUCCUGAAAACUUGGAGAGACAAAGGACCUGAAAACCACUUGUCACCCAAAUGGACAGGCCGCUUUGAGAUUGUUCUCACUACUCACUCGUAAAUAAAGCUUGCAGGUGUGCAACCCUGGAUCCAUCAGUCCAAGAUCAAGGCAGCCCCAGAAUCACAGGAAAGUACCCCACCUGUGUUGAGGGAAAAGUGGACAGCAGAUCCCCUUGGAGAACUAAAAUAUGUCUUUAAAAUAAAAAUUUCACCUUUGUUAUCUAA
rnacentral:lncRNA from 1 species